rnacentral:lncRNA from 1 species
UUGAGCUGCAGUGUAUCCAAAUUUGGUAACUUAAUCACAAAGGUACGCAAAAUCACUUUGAAUGUGAGGUCAUCUCGUACUGUGUGUUUCGGGAUCAUUUUGCCUAAAUGAAUGUAGAGUCAAUGUUCUCUCCAACGUUUACCUAACGUUCUCUCUCGUCUCAUCUCAAGCCUUGCUCACUUUUUUCUUUUCUGCUAUUGUAUUCUACUAAAACAUUGUCCAAGUAGUCUGCAGAUACACUUGACCACGUCUCAUGGCUCCAAGCCCGCUUUCAGUUUGACAUUGUUUUGACAUAAUUUAUGACCAUGAUAGCUACAGUGCGGUCAGAACGCCCACUUCAUAUCAAGAGUAUAUGAUUGGCUUUCGCACUUUUGGAUGACGUAAGGCCGUUUAUUUUGAGACAGUUGCUACUCCCUCCUGUUGUGUGAAGUCUCCUGUUGUCUCUAGUCUCAAUUUGCAUUCGCUCACAAGCAGCUUUGAACAAGACCAUUUACAACUGUUAUCGCCAUGCGUGUGAUCAAGUUCUUGAUUUUGUUUGCUCUACUUCUUUGUUUAAUGGAGCCAUGUCUGGUGGUAGCACGAGGCGGAAGGACCGGUUGCGGGGCUUUCAUAAGAUGCAAGAGAGAAGUUGAAAAGGAAGUACAUCAGGCCAACACCAGGAUUAAACGAUCGCUGUUUUCGACGCUGAAGAAAAAACGAACACUCGCUGCACCACCCCAAGGCAAAAUGGUAGACGAGACAAUUCGAUUAAAGUGAGUUCAUGGUGAUGUAAAUUUACAUCACGCUAGCAGCAGCCGGUUAUGCUUCAUCUCAUUUGGAUCACUGGAUGAAAUAGACUAGAUGACUAUAUACAAUUUUCAUUUUUUUUUUUUAUUAAAAGUGAUCCGAUUGUUGUUGUAAACAGAUUGUCAAAUAAUAGCUUAGGAGAUAGCAAUGGUGUCAAAAAAAGUGUAAAAUUUGUGGUGGUUCCAUUAUCUGAAGUUUCUGUCUUGAUCCCGGGGCAUUCAAUAACUUGCUGACGCGUAUACUAAGUAAUUUAGAGAUCUGUCAUUGAAGUCUAUUACACUGUCAAAUCACGCCA